UACGUAUGGUGCAAGCGUUAUCCGGAAUGACUGGGUGUAAAGGGAGCGUAGACGGUUGUUCAAGUCUGAUGUGAAAGCCCUCGGCUUAACUGGGGGAGUGCAUUGGAAACUGAAGGACUAGAGUAUAGGAGAGGCAAGUGGAAUUCCUAGUGUAGCGGUGAAAUGCGUAGAUAUUAGGAGGAACACCAGUGGCGAAGGCGGCUUGCUGGACGAAAACUGACGUUGAGGCUCGAAAGCGUGGGGAGCAAACAGG
rnacentral:rRNA from 1 species